CAUUCAGUACCCACAGUGCAAUGCUUAUGCAUAAGGUAUUUUCAGGAGAAAAAAGUAGAAAAUGUAUACUUUCCCCCCUUACGCUUUCUCGCCAGAAAGGCCAUCUAGAAACAGAACCAUUACUCAUUCCAGAAGAGCACACAAAAGUCUGAAGUCCAGAUCUACUGUUCGAUUUACUUUUUCCUUUCUCCUCAGGUUCUUCUGAAGACAGGGUGUUUGAAGGCAGGAUGAGGUGAUUCAGUUAGCCUAAUGCUGCUCUUGCUUUCCAAGAAUAUGGACAAUCCUCAGAGACGGUUUUAAAGAAUCUUGACUUUAAAGGGUCUCACACCUUGAGCCAAACCAACACCCAGUUUUAUGGGUGUGUGGACCAGGGUCCCUGACUGGUCCAAGGCCACAUGGCUCAAGAGACAGGGCAGACCUCACAAACAGCUUUGUCACUGCGGUCACCGACCCGAAUUUCUGGGGCAUUCCUGAGGGCCAGCUCACCUACCAAACGCUCCCCUCCCCGCCCCAUACACGGUCUCCCCAGCGUCUCCAAGUUCCUUGAAUGUCUGUUUCCGUGCCAGGACUGUGAGAAUUCUUUAAACAUAGUGAAAUGAACCCACAGCGAAUCCCCACCUCUCAGACUGUGCUGGGUCCGCGCGCCCAGCCCCCUCCCGGAAGCCCAGGCUCUUAAGUCCACACCUGCGUCCGCGCCGUAGCGCGAGGCUGCGCCACACCACCCAGCAGCGCAGGGCCCGUCAGCGCGGAGACGCAAAGAGCACAGAGAACUGGUUACCGGCUCCAGAAGGGGCCCUGGGCCCGCCAACUUGCCGCUGCUGCUACUAACCCACAGGUGACCACAGUAACGGACACCGGGGUUUGUAGUCCAAGAGCCGGGGAAACCCCACACUGCGGCGCCGGAUGGAGCCUCGAGAACUUCCGGUGAAGGGCAGGUGUCCGCGCACGGCUUUAUGGGAGAUGUAGUUCGAAGGUCACACACCGAAGAUGAGAGAAAGCUGGGGGCUGGCGGGUGGAGGCGUUGGGAAACCAGGGCUUGAAGUCCAGCGGUGAGGACAGGCUUCCUAGCGGACCUGAAGUUUCAAUUGGCAUAUAGGAGACAUUCAGUUAAUAUUUUUUGAUGUUAAAUAAAUGGUUGCUUUCAUAUU
rnacentral:lncRNA from 1 species